UAAACCCCGCUCCUCACGGCCCGCGCGUUCGGUGAGCCGUGCCUUCGGCAAUAAUAGGUCGGGAGGACGCGCGUAUUUGGCUAUCUUUAAACAUACACAACUCGAACAGGACAAGUCUUUUAAAUGUUCAAAUAUUUCUGAUACUCGUGAGUUUGAUGAUAGUUAUCAUGUUCCGCAAAACCAAGAAAAUUUUAAAGAUGAUAUUCAAGAGAAUUAUUCCGGAAGGAUAAAAUAUAAUGCAAAUAAAUCUUCAUCUAAUACAGAAG